rnacentral:lncRNA from 1 species
UAUAUACGAAACAAUCUAAAUCAAUCUAAUCUUUAAAAAAAAAGUUCACGUAAGCGACCAUCUAACACAAACUAAAAGAGAGUCACUAAUUCUAUAAUACACAGAAGAAGGAAAAAAAUAAGUAACUGAUUUACCACUCACAUGACAAUAACACUCAAAUAAUUUCAUAUUUGAAGAAAAAAUGAUUAAAUUUGGAAUAUAACGGAUCAGAGACUCUACCACUAAUUAAUAACUUGAUUUAGAUAUUUUGGGCUUUUGGUUAAUUUAGACCUACCGAAUCAUUCCUCUAAUGAUCAAACAAAUCA